rnacentral:rRNA from 1 species
AGCAGCCGCGGUAAUUCCAGCUCCAAUAGCGUAUAUUAAAGUUGUUGCAGUUAAAAAGCUCGUAGUUGAAUUUCGGGGUCUGUCAGUUGGUCGGGCUUCACUGUCCGUACUGAUUGGAUGGAUUCCUACCUUCUGAAUAACCAACAUGCUAUUAAGUUAGUGCGUUGGGGAAGCAGAUCUAUUACCUUGAAAAAAUUAGAGUGCUCAAAGCAGGCUAGUGCCUGAAUAGAUUAGCAUGGAAUAAUAAAAUAGGACGGAUUGGUUCUAUUUUGUUGGUUUCUAGGAUCACCGUAAUGAUUAAUAGGGAUAGUUGGGGGCAUUAGUAUUCAAUUGUCAGAGGUGAAAUUCUUGGAUUUAUUGAAGACUAACUUCUGCGAAAGCAUUUGCCAAGGAUGUUUUCAUUAAUCAAGAACGAAAGUUAGGGGAUCGAAGACGAUCAGAUACCGUCGUAGUCUUAACCAUAAACUAUGCCGACUAGGAAUCGGACGAAGUUAAUUUUUUAAUGACUCGUUCGGCACCUUACG